UACGGGGGGGGCAAGCGUUGUUCGGAAUUACUGGGCGUAAAGGGCUCGUAGGCGGCCAACUAAGUCAAACGUGAAAUCCCUCGGCUUAACCGGGGAACUGCGUCUGAUACUGGAUGGCUUGAGUUUGGGAGAGGGAUGCGGAAUUCCAGGUGUAGCGGUGAAAUGCGUAGAUAUCUGGAGGAACACCGGUGGCGAAGGCGGCAUCCUGGACCAACGCUGACGCUGAGGAGCGAAAGCCAGGGGAGCAAACGGG
rnacentral:rRNA from 1 species